GAUGAACGCUGGCGGCGUGCUUAACACAUGCAAGUCGAACGAAACACCUUAUUUGAUUUUCUUCGGAACUGAAGAUUUGGUGAUUGAGUGGCGGACGGGUGAGUAACGCGUGGGUAACCUGCCCUGUACAGGGGGAUAACAGUCAGAAAUGACUGCUAAUACCGCAUAAGACCACAGCACCGCAUGGUGCAGGGGUAAAAACUCCGGUGGUACAGGAUGGACCCGCGUCUGAUUAGCUGGUUGGUGAGGUAACGGCUCACCAAGGCGACGAUCAGUAGCCGGUUUGAGAGAGUGAACGGCCACAUUGGGACUGAGACACGGCCCAAACUCCUACGGGAGGCAGCAGUGGGGAAUAUUGCACAAUGGGGGAAACCCUGAUGCAGCGACGCCGCGUGAGUGAAGAAGUAUUUCGGGAUGUAAAGCUCUAUCAGCAGGGAAGAAAAUGACGGUACCUGACCAAGAAGCCCCGGCUAACUACGUG
rnacentral:rRNA from 1 species